rnacentral:lncRNA from 1 species
CUGGCCUCCAAGUUUUCUAGGAUGAUGCAUUGUCCAGCCAUCAACACAUUUGUGAAGGAAUUUUUUUCUCCCCAAAAGAGCGCCCCCCCAUGGCAGGAGAAAAAAGUCCAUUUUUUCUUGUCCCCUAAGGUGAAAAUACACAUUGUUGACUGUCAUACCUGUACGCUUUGUCAUAUUGACACAAAAUUUGACACACACAUGUAUCUCAAUAAGAUCUACGAAAAAGUCAACGCGCGCGUAUCUGUAAAAUGUACGGUUAAAGGGCUAUUUUGCAUUUUUUGCCGAUUCGCACACAUUGGAAUGUGGCUAACUCCUCCUAAGGCUUUCGUCCCACUGACACCAAAUUUGCUCAGGCCAAUCUACACGCCAUGGCCAUUCAAAGUUGUAAAAAUCAUGACGCUGCACCCCACGGUUUACGUUCUAGGGGGCGCCAAAGAUGACCCAAAUAUCCACAUUCUUAAAAGAAUCCACAUCCCCCCCCCAUCCCCCAUCCCCCAUCCCCCAUGGCAGGAGAAACAGUCAAGUUUUUCCUGCCCAUCACUCAAUGGCUCAAUCGCAUUACUCUCCCGGCAACACCGUAACGAGAAGCAACUUGCCGUUUGGAUAUAUCCUAGCUGUGUUUGUGCCCUCACUCAUGGUCCAGACUUUUUUCAAAUAGGACAUGUAGUUUGUCUGCAGCGAGUGUUUUGGUAGAAACUGCGCCUCCCAUUCAUUAUAAUGGGAAAUGACCACAGACAAGUGCGCACACCAUCUUUGGACCUUGAGUGUGACGCGAUCGGGAGGGGGAGGCGGUCGCGCUGGGGGCGGCGCAACGCGGCUCGGGCCCGACAGUGCCCCACCGGGGUCCUAGUCUUUGUUUCUUUCUUUCUUUUUAGGGCCCGAGCCAGCUGCAGAGCAGCCGGGCGUAGGCCCUAUUAUUCCCCAAGUGGUUUUUCUUUGUUUCUUUCUUUCUUUUUUCUUUUUCCUCCCCUUUGAACUGGAAAAUGGCCCACUUCCCACUGGCGAAAACUCAUGAAAUUUGGCAGGACGACCGGGCCUGGUGAAAAAUUCGAUAUUCUGAAGUCGCCCAAACAAUAAAAUGCAAAAUGGCUCCAUAGCGCCCCCUAAGGUGGAAAUUCACACUAUUGACUGUCACGCCUGUACGCUUUGUCAUAUUGACACAAAAAUUGACACACAUAUGUAUCUCAAUAAGAUCUACAAAAAAGUCAGUGCGGCCGUAUCUGUCAAAAUUACGGUUAAAGGGUUAUUUCGCAUUUUUUGCCGAUCCGCACACAUUGGAAUUUCGCUAACUCCUCCGAAGGCUUUCGUUCCACCGGCACCACAUUUGCUCAGGCCAAUCUACACCCCGUGGCCAUUAAAAGUUAUCAAAAUCAUGACGCUGCACCCCACCGGUUUACGUUCUAGGGGGCGCCAAAGAUAACACUAAAAUCCACAUAUUUAAAAGUCUUAUAACUUUUUAUUUUUGUCCUCACUGGCCUCCAAGUUUUCUAGGAUGAUGCAAUGUCCAGCCAUCAACACAUUUGUGAAGGAAUUUUUACUCCCCAAAAGAGCGCCCCCCCAUGGCAGGAGAAAAAAGUCCAUUUUUUCUUGUCCCCUAAGGUGAAAAUACACAUUGUUGAGUGUCACGCCUAUACGCUUUGUCAAAAUGACACAAAAAUUGACACACACAUGUAACUCAAUAAGAUCUACGAAAAAGUCAAUGCGCGCGUAUCUGUCAAAUGUACGGUUAAAGGGUUAUUCCGCAUUUUUUGCCGAUCCGCACACAUUGGAAUUUCGCUAACUCCUCCGAAGGCUUUCGUUCCACCGGCACCACAUUUGCUCAGGCCAAUCUACCCCCAAUGGCCAUUAAAAGUUAUUCAAAUCAUGACGCUGCACCCCACGGUUUAGGUUCUAGGGGGCGCCAAAGAUAACCCUAAAAUCCACAUAUUUAAAAGUCUUAUAACUUUUUAUUUUUGUCCUCACUGGCCUCCAAGUUUUCUAGGAUGAUGCAAUGUCCAGCCAUCAACACAUUUGUGAAGGAAUUUUUACUCCCCAAAAGAGCGCCCCCCCCCCCAUGGCAGGAGAAAAAAGUCCAUUUUUUCUUGUCCCCUAAGGUGAAAAUACAUAUUGUUGAGAUUCACGCCUAUACGCUUUGUCAUAUUGACACAAAAUUUGACAAUCACGUGCCUUGCCUGGUAUCAUUUUUUUCAGCACAACCUCACCUGUGCGAAUUUACAGUUAUUUUAUCAUGUUGACAUACUGAAUUUACACAAUGGACCCAAAUUCACACACAAAACAUAAAAUCCGAGUGGAAAAAAGUAACAUUUUUACUGUGAAAACCACAAAUAUGUGUGAUGAACUGUUUUUAAAACUUAAACUUCAAAUAAAAAUUGUAAACUUCAAAACAUAUGCAAAUUUUUAACAAAGAACAUAGUGAUUUACCUCUAUUUACAUCAAAAUGCAGGCAAUGGCCCAGGCGUUCUUUGUAAAAUUAUUUACAAAACACUGUAUAGUCUCACAAAUGUCACUUUUUAUUUAUGCCACUACAAAAAAACAUGAUGUAAAUGAUGCAUGAUGUAAAACAUGAUGUAAAAUACUUGUGUAGAUCCUCCUCUAUGUCAGUCCAUGUGUAAUUUUUCCACAAUCCUUUGUUUUUUGCAGCAUUUUUGUUAGUGUAACUGCAGAUUGUGCUGACAGUGUCUAUGGCACAAAAAAAAAAAAAAAAAAAUGCCUCAACAUGAACCCCUGGUGGUCUCUGAGGGUGAAACCUGCUAACUGCUGCAGCUCUGUCAGCUUCAGUCUCCCAUGCAGAGCUCUGAGCGCAUGUGUGGCUCUGCACCCUUAGCAGCGUUGCUAACUCCUCAGUAAGGAAAGCCUGCUUCAUGUCAGAGUCUCUAAACUCCAGAAGAAGUAGAUAAAAGUCCCUUUCUUUCUAAAAAAAAGUCGUUAGGGGGUCUGAAAAGUCAUUGAAUCUAACAACAAAGUCGCUAGGUUUGCAACUACGUGUCCCAGACUGCAUCCCUGCUGAGAGUCCCUCCCUCCCUUCUCAUGUUGCAGGAAGAACGUAAACGCCCGCCCCUUGUCAAUCAGUCACCAUAUAAUUUUGGAUUGGUUGUUGUGGUGAAGUUUUCCACCAAUAGGAGAGAUGUUGUGGUGUGUUUUUUUUUUCUUUUGGCAAGCCUUUUCCGCCUGUAAGACCUGUCGCUAAUGUCUGCAUGCUAUGUUUUUCCUGUCUCAUACAGCGCGAUCGAGCGCCGAACGUGAUCAAAAUAAGCAGAAAAAAAGUAUCGCGGACAUAAUUUAUCAUAACUCUGGUUUUAUUUGGCCUAUCAACACAAUUUAAAAACUGGUAUAUAGGUUGAGGUCCUCACUUUUGAGAUAAGUUGAAACGGAGAGUCAACGAGGCUCCGUCUUGCAGCUACAUCCGGUUAAAUAUGUCAUGUGACUUGAACGCACACACAGACACACACACACGCACACGCACACACACACACACACACACACACACACACUCAGAGUCUGGUUUUUAGCACCUGCAAAAACAUGCUAUUUACAUAUUUGACAAGAAUGCAGAGGCUCCUUUUGCCCCUGAAAAAAAUCAAAUUUCAAACACAAUUUGACUGGUCAUUUCUCCAAAAGACAACCAUGAAGCUCCAUCCAAACCUGAAGCAGGCAGUUGGUGCAUGUGUACAGUAACCUGAGGGGAGUGAGGUGAGUGCUUCUGAGGAGAACAUGAGCAGUGAAGAUUCACCUUGGAGCUAGAACAGAGACAUGCACAUGAUUAUACAGGGGCAGGGGCUCAAGUUUUUUCCAGUCGUUUAUACAAUAUGGAAAUUAAUGUGAAAUUAAAACACAAAGUAUUAAUAGAAAGGUAAUGACUGUCCUGUGUAGGUGACAGUGAUAUCCAAUAGGCUAGGCACUCACGAGGCUGGCUGUGGCAAGUGUAAGUGAAAGCAACACGCACUGGCUGGAAGAACAGCAAACGCCGAUGAAGGAAAAGGGUCUUUGCAGUGAUGGGCGUUACCAGAGAGGGCGAUGGCCAGAGGACACAAAUGGGACGGGGAGGCAGCACGUUGGGGGGGGGGGGACGCGACACGGCUCGGGCCCGCCAGUGCCCCAACGGGGUCCUAGUUUCUUCUUCUUCUUCUUAUUAUUUUUCUGCCCCUUUGAACUGGAAAAUGGCCCACUUCCCACUGGUGAAAAGUCAUGAAAUUUGGCAGGACGACCGGGCCUGGUGAAAAAUUCGAUAUUCUGAAGUCGCCCAAAAAAUCAAAUGCAAAAUGGCUCCAUAGCGCCCCCUAAGGUGAAAAAUUCACAUGAUUGAGUGUCACGCCUGUACGCUUUGUCAAAAUGACACAAAAUUUGACACACACGUGUAUCUCAAUAAGAUCUACAAAAAAGUCAGUGCGGGCGUAUCUGUCAAAUGUACGGUUAAAGGGCUAUUUCGCAUUUUUUGCCGAUCCGCACACAUUGGAAUUUCGCUAACUCCUCCGAAGGCUUUCGUUCCACCGGCACCAAAUUUGCUCAGGCCAAUCUACACCCCAUGGCCAUUAAAAGUUGUACAAAUCAUGACGCUGCAUCCCACGGUUUACGUUCUAGGGGGCGCCAAAGAUAACCCAGAAAUCCACAUUCUUAAAAGUCGUAUAACUUUUUAUUUUUGUCCUCACUGGCCUCCAAGUUUUCUAGGAUGAUGCAAUGUCCAGCCAUCAACACAUUUGUGAAGGAAUUUUUACUCCCCAAAAGAGCGCCCCCCCAUGGCAGGAGAAAAAAGUCCAUUUUUUCUUGUCUCCUAAGGCGAAAAUUCACACUAUUGACUGUCACGCCUUUACGCUUUGUCAUAUUGACACAAAAAUUGACACACACAUGUAUCUCAAUAAGAUCUACAAAAAAGUCAGUGCGGGCGUAUCUGUCAAAUGUACGGUUAAAGGGCUAUUUCGCAUUUUUUGCCGAUCCGCACACAUUGGAAUUUCGCUAACUCCUCCGAAGGCUUUCGUUCCAAAGGCACCACAUUUGCUGAGGCCAAUCUACACCCCAUGGCCAUUAAAAGUUGUACAAAUCAUGACGCUGCACCCCACGGUUUACGUUCUAGGGGGCGCCAAAGAUAACCCAAAAAUCCACAGUCUUAAAAGUCUUAUAACUUUUUAUUUUUGUCCUCACUGGCCUCCAAGUUCUCUAGGAUGAUGCAAUGUCCAGCCAUCAACACAUUUGUGAAGGAAUUUUUACUCGCCAAAAGAGCGCCCCCCAUGGCAGGAGAAAAAAGUCCAUUUUUUCUUGUCUCCUAAGGCGAAAAUACACAUUGUUGACUGUCACGCCUUUACGCUUUGUCAAAAUGACACAAAAUUUGACACACACAUGUAUCUCAAUAAGAUCUACAAAAAAGUCAGUGCGGGCGUAUCUGUCAAAUGUACGGUUAAAGGGUUAUUUCGCAUUUUUUGCCGAUCCGCACACAUUGGAAUUUCGCUAACUCCUCCUAAAUCUUUUGUCCCAUCGGCUUCAAAUUUGCUCAGGUCAAUCUACACCCCAUGGCCAUUCAAAGUUGUACAAAUCAUGACGCUGCACCCCACAGUUUACGUUCUAGGGGGCGCCAAAGAGGACCCAAAUAUCCACAUUUUUAAAAGUCUUAUAACUUUUUAUUUUUGUCCUCACUGGCCUCCAAGUUUUCUAGGAUGAUGCAAUGUCCAGCCAUCAACACAUUUGUGAAGGAAUUUUUUCUCCCCAAAAGAGCGCCCCCCAUGGCAGGAGAAAAAGUCAAGUUUUUCCUGCCCAUCGCUCAAUGACUCAAACACAUCGCUCUCUCGGCAAAACCGAAAGGAGGAGCAACUUGCCAUUUGGAUAUAUCCUAGCUGUGUUUGUGCCCUCACUCAUGGUCCAGUCCUUUUCAAAUAGGACAUGUAGUUUGUCUGCGGCGAGCGUUUUGGUAGAAACUGCGCCUCCCAUUCAUUAUAAUUGUAAAUGACCACAGACAAGUGCGCACACCAUCUUUGGACCUUGAGUGUGACGCGAUCGGUAGGGAGAGGCGGUCGUGUUGGGGGCGGCGCGACACGGCUCGGGCCCACCAGUGCCCCAACGGGGCCCUAGUUAGGGCCCGAGCGUAGCUGCUAAGCAGCUGCGAGAGCCCUCUUGUUCCUGCAUGUUUCCUUCUUUUGUUAUUAGGGCCCGAGCGUAGCUGCUAAGCAGCUGCGAGAGCCCUAUUAUUCCCCAAGGGGUUUUUCUUUGUUUCUUUUUUCUUUUUCCUCCCCUUUGAACUGGAAAAUGGCCCACUUCCCACUGGCGAAAACUCAUGAAAUUUGGCAGGACGACCGGGCCUGGUGAAAAAUUUGAUAUUCCGAAGUCGCCCAAACAAGAAAAUGCAAAAUGGCUCCAUAGCGCCCCCUAAGGUGAAAAUUCACACUAUUGAGUGUCACGCCUGUACGCUUUGUCAAAAUGACACAAAAUUUGACACACACAUGUAUCUCAAUAAGAUCUACAAAAAAGUCAGUGCGGGCGUAUCUGUCAAAUGUACGGUUAAAGGGUUAUUUCGCAUUUUUUGCCGAUCCGCACACAUUGGAAUUUCGCUAACUCCUCCGAAGGCUUUCGUUCCACCGGCACCACAUUUGCUCAGGCCAAUCUACACCCCAUGGCCAUUAAAAGUUAUUCAAAUCAUGACGCUGCACCCCACGGUUUAGGUUCUAGGGGGCGCCAAAGAUAACCCUAAAAUCCACAUAUUUAAAAGUCUUAUAACUUUUUAUUUUUGCCCUCACUGGCCUCCAAGUUUUCUAGGAUGAUGCAAUGUCCAGCCAUCAACACAUUUGUGAAGGAAUUUUUACUCCCCAAAAGAGCGCCCCCCCAUGGCAGGAGAAAAAAGUCCAUUUUUUCUUGUCCCCUAAGGUGAAAAUACACAUUGUUGAGUGUCACGCCUGUACGCUUUGUCAAAAUGACACAAAAAUUGACACACACAUGUAUCUCAAUAAGAUCUACAAAAAAGUCCAUGCGCGCGUAUCUGUCAAAUGUACGGUUAAAGGGUUAUUUCGCAUUUUUUGCCGAUCCGCACACAUUGGAAUUUCGCUAACUCCUCCGAAGGCUUUCGUUCCACCGGCACCACAUUUGCUCAGGCCAAUCUACACCCCAUGGCCAUUAAAAGUUAUUCAAAUCAUGACGCUGCACCCCACGGUUUAGGUUCUAGGGGGCGCCAAAGAUAACCCUAAAAUCCACAUAUUUAAAAGUCUUAUAACUUUUUAUUUUUGCCCUCACUGGCCUCCAAGUUUUCUAGGAUGAUGCAAUGUCCAGCCAUCAACACAUUUGUGAAGGAAUUUUUACUCCCCAAAAGAGCGCCCCCCCAUGGCAGGAGAAAAAAGUCCAUUUUUUCUUGUCCCCUAAGGUGAAAAUACACAUUGUUGAGUGUCACGCCUGUACGCUUUGUCAAAAUGACACAAAAAUUGACACACACAUGUAUCUCAAUAAGAUCUACAAAAAAGUCCAUGCGCGCGUAUCUGUCAAAUGUACGGUUAAAGGGUUAUUCCGCAUUUUUUGCCGAUUCGCACACAUUGGAAUUUCGCUAACUCCUCCGAAGGCUUUCGUUCCACCGGCACCACAUUUGCUCAGGCCAAUCUACACCCCAUGGCCAUUAAAAGUUAUUCAAAUCAUGACGCUGCACCCCACGGUUUACGUUCUAGGGGGCGCCAAAGAUAACCCAAAAAAUCCACAUUUUUAAAAGUCUUAUAACUUUUUAUUUUUGUCCUCACUGGCCUCCAAGUUUUCUAGGAUGAUGCAAUGUCCAGCCAUCAACACAUUUGUGAAGGAAUUUUUACUCCCUAAAAGAGCGCCCCCCCAUGGCAGGAGAAAAAAGUCCAUUUUUUCUUGUCCCCUAAGGUGAAAAUACACAUUGUUGACUGUCACGCCUGUACGCUUUGGCAAAAUGACACAAAAAUUGACAAUCAUGUGUAUCUCAAUUAGAUCUACGAAAAAGUCAAAGAGCGCGUAUCUGUAUAAUGUACGGUAAAAGGGCUAUUUUGCAUUUUUUGCCGAUUCGCACACAUUGGAAUUUCGCUAACUCCUCCUAAGGCUUUCGUCCCACUGACACCAAAUUUGCUCAGGCCAAUCUACACUCCAUGGCCAUUCAAAGUUGUAAAAAUCAUGACGCUGCACCCCACGGUUUACGUUUUAGGGGGCGCCAAAGAUGACCCAAAUAUACAUUACAGUAGACAAAGUAGUUUUGCCCACUGAGUGGCGCCAAAGGGACUUGUCUGUGGAGUCUGUGAGUCACUAUUGGCCGUUUUUGACUACUUUAGAUUUUACCUUUAUAUUUCCUCUUACAAAAUUUUUACCUUGCCUUGCCUGGUAUCAUUUUUUUCAGCACAACCUCACCUGUGUCAAUUUACAGUUAUUUUAUCAUUUUGACAUACUAUAUUUACACAUUGGACCCAAAUUCACACACAAAACAUAAAAUCCGAGUGGAAAAAAGUAACGUUUUUACUGUGGAAACCACAAAUAUGUGUGAUGAACUGUUUUUAAAACUUAAACUUCAAAUAAAAAUUGUAAACUUCAAAACAUAUGCAAAUUUUUAACAAAGAACAUAGUAAUUUACCUCUAUUUACAUCAAAAUGCAGGCAAUGGCCCAGGUGUUCUUUGUAAAAUUAUUUACAAAACACUGUAUAGUCUCACAAAUGUCACUUUUUAUUUAUGCCACUACAAAAAAACAUGAUGUAAAUGAUGCAUGAUGUAAAACAUGAUGUAAAAAACUUGUGUAUAUCCUCCUCUAUGUUAGUCCAUGUGUAAUUUUUCCAUAAUUCUUUGUUUUUUGCAGCAUUUUUGUUAGUGUAACUGCAGAUUGUGCUGACAGUGUCUAUGGCAAAAAAAAAAAAAAAAACUGAAAAUGCCUCAACAUGAACCCCUGGUGGUCUCUGAGGGUGAAACCUGCUAACUGCUGCAGCUCUGUCAGCUUCAGUCUCCCAUGCAGAGCUCUGAGCGCAUGUGUGGCUCUGCACCCUUAGCAGCGUUGCUAACUCCUCAGUAAGGAAAGCCUGCUUCAUGUCAGAGUCUCUAAACUCCAGAAGAAGUCGAUAAAAGUCCCUUUCUUUCUAAAAAAAAGUCGUUAGGGGGUCUGAAAAGUCAUUGAAUCUAACAACAAAGUCGCUAGGUUUGCAACUACGUGUCCCAGACUGCAUCCCUGCUGAGAGUCCCUCCCUCCCUUCUCAUGUUGCAGGAAGAACGUAAGCGCCCGCCCCUUGUCAAUCAGUCACCAUAUAAUUUUGGAUUGGUUGCUGUGGUGAAGUUUUCCACCAAUAGGAGAGAUGUUGUGGUGUGUUUUUUUUUUCCUUUGGCAAGCCUUUUCCGCCUGUAAGACCUGUCGCUAAUGUCUGCAUGCUAUGUUUUCCUGUCUCAUACAGCGCGAUCGAGCGCCGAACGUGAUCAAAAUAAGCAGAAAACAAGUAUCGCGGACAUAAUUUAUCAUAACUCUGGUUUUAUUUGGCCUAUCAACACAAUUUAAAAACUGGUAUAUAGGUUGAGGUCCUCACUUUUGAGAUAAGUUGAAACGGAGAGUCAACGAGGCUCCGUCUUGCAGCUACAUCCGGUUAAAUAUGUCAUGUGACUUGAACGCACACACACACACACACACACACACAGACACACACACACACGCACACACACACACUCAGAGUCUGGUUUUUAGCACCUGCAAAAACAUGCUAUUUACAUAUUUGACAAGAAUGCAGAGGCUCCUAUUGCCCCUGAAAAAAAUCAAAUUUCAAACACAACUUGACUGGUCAUUUCUCCAAAAGACAACCAUGAAGCUCCAUCCAAACCUGAAGCAGGCAGUUGGUGCAUGUGUACAGUAACCUGAGGGGAGUGAGGUGACUGCUUCUGAGGAGAACAUGAGCAGUGAAGAUUCACCUUAGAGCUAGAACAGAGACGUGCACAUGAUUAUACAGGGGCAGGGGCUCAAGUUUUUUCCAGUUGUUUAUACAAUAUGGAAAUUAAUGUGAAAUUAAAAAACAAAGUAUUAAUAGAAAGGUAAUGACUGUCCUGUGUAGGUGACAGUGAUAUCCAAUAGGCUAGGCACUCACGAGGCUGGCUGUGGCAAGUGUAAGUGAAAGCAACACGCACUGGCAGGAAGAACAGCAAACGCCGAUGAAGGAAAAGGGUCUUUGCAGUGAUGGGCGUUACCAGAGAGGGCGAUGGCCAGAGGACACAAAUGGGACGGGGAGGCAGCGCGUUGGGGGGGGGACGCGACACAGCUCGGGCCCGCCAGUGCCCCAACGGGGUCCUAGUUAGGGCCCGAGCCAGCUGCAGAGCAGCCGGGCGUAGGCCCUAUUAUUCCCCAAGUGGUUUUUCUUUGUUUCUUUCUUUCUUUUUUCUUUUUCCUCCCCUUUGAACUGGAAAAUGGCCCACUUCCCACUGGCGAAAACUCAUGAAAUUUGGCAGGACGACCGGGCCUGGUGAAAAAUUCGAUAUUCUGAAGUCGCCCAAACAAGAAAAUGCAAAAUGGCUCCAUAGCGCCCCCUAAGGUGGAAAUUCACACUAUUGACUGUCACGCCGGUACGCUUUGUCAUAUUGACACAAAAAUUGACACACAUAUGUAUCUCAAUAAGAUCUACAAAAAAGUCAGUGCGGCCGUAUCUGUCAAAAUUACGGUUAAAGGGUUAUUUCGCAUUUUUUGCCGAUCCGCACACAUUGGAAUUUCGCUAACUCCUCUGAAGGCUUUCGUUCCACCGGCACCACAUUUGCUCAGGCCAAUCUACACCCCGUGGCCAUUAAAAGUUAUCAAAAUCAUGACGCUGCACCCCAAGGUUUAGGUUCUAGGGGGCGCCAAAGAUAACACUAAAAUCCACAUAUUUAAAAGUCUUAUAACUUUUUAUUUUUGUCCUCACUGGCCUCCAAGUUUUCUAGGAUGAUGCAAUGUCCAGCCAUCAACACAUUUGUGAAGGAAUUUUUACUCCCCAAAAGAGCGCCCCCCCAUGGCAGGAGAAAAAAGUCCAUUUUUUCUUGUCCCCUAAGGUGAAAAUACACAUUGUUGAGUGUCACGCCUAUACGCUUUGUCAAAAUGACACAAAAAUUGACACACACAUGUAACUCAAUAAGAUCUACGAAAAAGUCAAUGCGCGCGUAUCUGUCAAAUGUACGGUUAAAGGGUUAUUCCGCAUUUUUUGCCGAUCCGCACACAUUGGAAUGUGGCUAACUCCUCCGAAGGCUUUCUGUCCACCGGCACCACAUUUGCUCAGGCCAAUCUACACCCCAUGCCCAUUAAAAGUUAUUCAAAUCAUGAUGCUGCACCCCAUGGUUUAGGUUCUAGGGGGCGCCAAAAAUAACCCAAAAAUCCACAUAUUUAAAAGUCUUAUAACUUUUUAUUUUUGUCCUCACUGGCCUCCAAGUUUUCUAGGAUGAUGCAAUGUCCAGCCAUCAACACAUUUGUGAAGGAAUUUUUACUCCCCAAAAGAGCGCCCCCCCAUGGCAGGAGAAAAAAGUCCAUUUUUUCUUGUCCCCUAAGGUGAAAAUACAUAUUGUUGAGAUUCACGCCUAUACGCUUUGUCAUAUUGACACAAAAUUUGACAAUCACGUGCCUUGCCUGGUAUCAUUUUUUUCAGCACAACCUCACCUGUGCGAAUUUACAGUUAUUUUAUCAUGUUGACAUACUGAAUUUACACAAUGGACCCAAAUUCACACACAAAACAUAAAAUCCGAGUGGAAAAAAGUAACAUUUUUACUGUGAAAACCACAAAUAUGUGUGAUGAACUGUUUUUAAAACUUAAACUUCAAAUAAAAAUUGUAAACUUCAAAACAUAUGCAAAUUUUUAACAAAGAACAUAGUGAUUUACCUCUAUUUACAUCAAAAUGCAGGCAAUGGCCCAGGCGUUCUUUGUAAAAUUAUUUACAAAACACUGUAUAGUCUCACAAAUGUCACUUUUUAUUUAUGCCACUACAAAAAAACAUGAUGUAAAUGAUGCAUGAUGUAAAACAUGAUGUAAAAAACUUGUGUAGAUCCUCCUCUAUGUCAGUCCAUGUGUAAUUUUUCCAUAAUUCUUUGUUUUUUGCAGCAUUUUUGUUAGUGUAACUGCAGAUUGUGCUGACAGUGUCUAUGGCACAAAAAAAAAAAAAAUUAAAAUGCCUCAACAUGAACCCCUGGUGGUCUCUGAGGGUGAAACCUGCUAACUGCUGCAGCUCUGUCAGCUUCAGUCUCCCAUGCAGAGCUCUGAGCGCAUGUGUGGCUCUGCACCCUUAGCAGCGUUGCUAACUCCUCAGUAAGGAAAGCCUGCUUCAUGUCAGAGUCUCUAAACUCCAGAAGAAGUCGAUAAAAGUCCCUUUCUUUCUAAAAAAAAGUCGUUAGGGGGUCUGAAAAGUCAUUGAAUCUAACAACAAAGUCGCUAGGUUUGCAACUACGUGUCCCAGACUGCAUCCCUGCUGAGAGUCCCUCCCUCCCUUCUCCUGUUGCAGGAAGAACGUAAGCGCCCGCCCCUUGUCAAUCAGUCACCAUAUAAUUUUGGAUUGGUUGUUGUGGUGAAGUUUUCCACCAAUAGGAGAGAUGUUGUGGUGUGUUUUUUUUUUCUUUUGGCAAACCUUUUCCGCCUGUAAGACCUGUCGCUAAUGUCUGCAUGCUAUGUUUUCCUGUCUCAUACAGCGCGAUCGAGCGCCGAACGUGAUCAAAAUAAGCAGAAAAAAAGUAUCGCGGACAUAAUUUAUCAUAACUCUGGUUUUAUUUGGCCUAUCAACACAAUUUAAAAACUGGUAUAUAGGUUGAGGUCCUCACUUUUGAGAUAAGUUGAAACGGAGAGUCAACGAGGCUCCGUCUUGCAGCUACAUCCGGUUAAAUAUGUCAUGUGACUUGAACGCACACACAGACACACACACACAGACACACACACACACGCACACACACACACACACACUCAGAGUCUGGUUUUUAGCACCUGCAAAAACAUGCUAUUUACAUAUUUGACAACAAUGCAGAGGCUCCUUUUGCCCCUGAAAAAAAUCAAAUUUCAAACACAACUUGACUGGUCAUUUCUCCAAAAGACAACCAUGAAGCUCCAUCCAAACCUGAAGCAGGCAGUUGGUGCAUGUGUACAGUAACCUGAGGGGAGUGAGGUGAGUGCUUCUGAGGAGAACAUGAGCAGUGAAGAUUCACCUUAGAGCUAGAACAGAGACCUGCACAUGAUUAUACAGGGGCAGGGGCUCAAGUUUUUUCCAGUUGUUUAUACAAUAUGGAAAUUAAUGUGAAAUUAAAAAACAAAGUAUUAAUAGAAAGGUAAUGACUGUCCUGUGUAGGUGACAGUGAUAUCCAAUAGGCUAGGCACUCACGAGGCUGGCUGUGGCAAGUGUAAGUGAAAGCAACACGCACUGGCAGGAAGAACAGCAAACGCCGAUGAAGGAAAAGGGUCUUUGCAGUGAUGGGCGUUACCAGAGAGGGCGAUGGCCAGAGGACACAAAUGGGACGGGGAGGCAGCGCGUUGGGGGGGGGACGCGACACAGCUCGGGCCCGCCAGUGCCCCAACGGGGUCCUAGUUAUUAUUUUUCCUCCCCUUUGAACUGGAAAAUGGCCCACUUCCCACUGGCGAAAACUCAUGAAAUUUGGCAGGACGACCGGGCCUGGUGAAAAAUUUGAUAUUCUGAAGUCGCCCAAACAAUACAAUGCAAAAUGGCUCCAUAGCGCCCCCUAAGGUGAAAAAUUCACCUGACGCCUGUACGCUUUGUCAAAAUGACACAAAAAUUGACACACACAUGUAUCUCAAUAAGAUCUACAAAAAAGUCAGUGCGGGCGUAUCUGUCAAAUGUACGGUUAAAGGGUUAUUUCGCAUUUUUUGCCGAUCCGCACACAUUGGAAUUUCGCUAACUCCUCCGAAGGCUUUCGUUCCACCGGCACCACAUUUGCUCAGGCCAAUCUACACCCCAUGGCCAUUAAAAGUUAUUCAAAUCAUGACGCUGCACCCCACGGUUUAUGUUCUAGGGGGCGCCAAAGAUAACCCUAAAAUCCACAUAUUUCAAAGUCUUAUAACUUUUUAUUUUUGCCCUCACUGGCCUCCAAGUUUUCUAGGAUGAUGCAAUGUCCAGCCAUCAACACAUUUGUGAAGGAAUUUUUACUCCCCAAAAGAGCGCCCCCCCAUGGCAGGAGAAAAAAGUCCAUUUUUUCUUGUUCCAUAAGGUGAAAAUUCACACUAUUGACUGUCACGCCUGUACUCUUUGUCAAAAUUACACAAAAAUUGACACACACAUGUAUCUCAAUAAGAUCUACAAAAAAGUCAGUGCGGGCGUAUCUGUCAAAUGUACGGUUAAAGGGUUAUUGUGCAUUUUUUGCCGAUCCGCACACAUUGGAAUUUCGCUAACUCCUCCGAAGGCUUUCGUUCCACCGGCACCACAUUUGCUCAGGCCAAUCUACACCCCAUGGCCAUUAAAAGUUAUUCAAAUCAUGACGCUGCACCCCACGGUUUAGGUUCUAGGGGGCGCCAAAGAUAACCCUAAAAUCCACAUAUUUAAAAGUCUUAUAACUUUUUAUUUUUGUCCUCUCUGGCCUCCAAGUUUUCUAGGAUGAUGCAAUGUCCAGCCAUCAACACAUUUGUGAAGGAAUUUUUACUCCCUAAAAGAGCGCCCCCCCAUGGCAGGAGAAAAAAGUCCAUUUUUUCUUGUCCCAUAAGGUGAAAAUACACAUUGUUGACUGUCAUACCUGUAUGCUUUGUCAUAUUGACACAAAAUUUGACACACACAUGUAUCUCAAUAAGAUCUACGAAAAAGUCAAUGCGCGCGUAUCUGUAAAAUGUACGGUUAAAGGGCUAUUUUGCAUUUUUUGCUGAUUAGCACACAUUGGAAUGUGGCUAACUCCUCCUAAGGCUUUCGUCCCAC